AUACGGAGGGGGUUAGCGUUGUUCGGAAUUACUGGGCGUAAAGCGCACGUAGGCGGACUGGAAAGUUGGGGGUGAAAUCCCGGGGCUCAACCCCGGAACUGCCUCCAAAACUUCCAAUCUAGAGAUCGAGAGAGGUGAGUGGAAUUCCAAGUGUAGAGGUGAGAUUCGUAGAUAUUUGGCGGAACACCAGUGGCGAAGGCGGCUCACUGGCUCGAUACUGACGCUGAGGUGCGAAAGCGUGGGGAGCAAACAGGAUUAGAAACCCUAGUAGUCC
rnacentral:rRNA from 1 species